GAUGAACGCUGGCGGCGUGCCUAAUACAUGCAAGUCGAGCGAACAGAUGAGGAGCUUGCUCCUCUGACGUUAGCGGCGGACGGGUGAGUAACACGUGGAUAACCUACCUAUAAGACUGGGAUAACUUCGGGAAACCGGAGCUAAUACCGGAUAAUAUAUUGAACCGCAUGGUUCAAUAGUGAAAGACGGUUUUGCUGUCACUUAUAGAUGGAUCCGCGCCGCAUUAGCUAGUUGGUAAGGUAACGGCUUACCAAGGCAACGAUGCGUAGCCGACCUGAGAGGGUGAUCGGCCACACUGGAACUGAGACACGGUCCAGACUCCUACGGGAGGCAGCAGUAGGGAAUCUUCCGCAAUGGGCGAAAGCUUGACGGAGCAACGCCGCGUGAGUGAUGAAGGUCUUCGGAUCGUAAAGCGCUGUUAUUAGGGAAGAACAAAUGUGUAAGUAACUAUGCACGUCUGGACGGUACCUAAGCAGAAAGCCACGGCUAACUACGU
rnacentral:rRNA from 1 species